rnacentral:ncRNA from 1 species
ACCAGAAUUUGGAGAGUCAAAGCUAAACAUUCAGGCAAAACAAAAUGAAUACCUCUCUGUAAACAUUGAGGCCUUAUGAAGUGAAAUAAUUUUCUUUGCCAUUUAAAAAAACUACUUUCAACUGCUAGAUGGAGGCCUGCCGUGGUCCUGACGUGCAAAUCGGUCAUCUGACCUGGGCAUAGGGGUGAAAGACUAAUCAAACUGUCUAGUAACUGG